CUGUGUUGAUGCCAGUCGCAUUCCUGCACUGCACAGUCUAAACCUGGCUUCUCUUUCUUGCCAGCACAAUGAAACCUGCCCUGGAGCCAGAGCUGGAGACCUACCUCCUGUGAGCUGUCCUGCAUGGUGUCUUCACCAUGGACAUGGAGAAGGAUACCACCCAUAUCCAGGAAGAUCAUUCUUCUAGUCCUCCCUGCCAGGAGCAGGAGUGGCCUCUGGCCCCUGCUCCCUUGAUUAGCUGGAGCUACAGAGAGAGGGUUGGGGUGGGCAGAGAUGGAACAGGCUGCAGGGUUGGCUCCUUCCCUCUGGGGUGAUUACAUUAUCCAUCCAAGGAGGAUUCCUUCCUUCCUUCCACAUGUUGUGUUUUGCCCAGCUUCCAUCCAUAGCAACUUGGCUGUUCCAUACUCUGCUGCCUAUGAGGCCCUCUCAGAGACCUGCUAAGGGCAUUAAAGAGCCAGCUGUCAUCCUUCCAUGAGUCCUUGCUAAUUGCCUGCAGUGAGACAUGAAUGAGGGAGGCCAGGACAUGUGUUUGGGGUCUCAUCAGUGCUUCACAGAGAACCCUCUUCCUAUCCUGUGGCAGAUGUAGCCCCAGUUUCCCUAACAUUGACCCAUGGCUCUCCCUUCCUUUGCAGGCUCUGCACAAGGUCUUGGCAGAGCUUCUGGAUGCCAUGCCAGGGAACCUGCUGACAGAGUCCCCAGACACAGACAGGCUCUAGUACAUCCAAUAAGGAAUUGUAGGGGGCAAUUUUACCUUAAUCAUAGGACUAGAAGGGACCUUGAGAGGUCAUCUAGUCCAGUCCCCUGCACUUGUGGCUGGGGAGGACUGGAAAAGAGAGUGGAAGAUCCAUUUUCUAGUCUGUCCUCCUAUCUGGGAUCCCACUGGGCCAUCCUUGGUCAGGGCAGUCAGUGCAAUGUAAUGUUGAGCCCUUCCUCCUUCAGGGAAGGAGCUGGGACUUCAAGCCAGGGCUCUGUCUGGUUCUACUGAGCAGUAACACAGGGCUUUAGGCUGCCUUGGGGAGUGAGAGCCUCAACUUCUCCCCUUCCCUCUGUCGUGAGAUCCAGGAGGUGAUCCUCACAGAAAAAUCACUGUCUCCUUCCUAGAGAAACCAGAGGACCCCAGGGAAUCAGCCCAUCUCUUUUCAAUUAGAGAAUCAGACAGAUUAACAAUAGAAAAGUGGGGGCCAUAAAGAUAAAACAUACAGAAAUGAGGGUUUCACAACCACAACCAUUGCUAAGUGAUUUCUUGCCAGACAGGAUGCUAUCAAACUAAGUUUUCUUUGACUAUCUUAAGAUCUGAAAAGGAGCACUCUCCUGGCCCUGGAGAAGCUGUCUGGGGAACCAGGCUGAGAAACAGGCAUCCGCUGGAGUACUGACGAAGCCAGGCCUGUCUAGGUAACAUCAUCGGAGGCUGUCCGAUCACUAUAAUCAUUCUAGAUAAUACUUAGUCCUGCCAUGAGUGCAGGGGACUGGACUAGAUGAACUCUCAAGCUCCCUUACAGUCCUAUGAUUCUAUGUACACCACUGGUCUCGAAGGGAAGAACUACAAGUGUGUGAGCAGAGUUGGACCUGCAGGGCAGCCCAUUCCCACCAAUUGGACCUGACAUGGAUCGUCCAGACCAAACUGGAGAUGGGCAGUGGAAACAUUCACAUUGGGAUUGGCCUUGAUGGGAGAAAUCAUUGGUGUUGAAGAUAAGGAGCAGUUCUGGGAAUGGCCAGCCGGAAAUCCCUGUGUGUGACAACUGUGAAAUCAGUUCUUACCAACGGGACCCCCAGGGAUUCCCAUCCUGGGCACAGCUUGCUGUUCUGUACCUGGUCUUUCCUUUGCUGUUAAACUUCCUACUGGCAACAUGUAGCUCUUUCAUGGCUCUGAAGGUGAUAUCCUGAACCUGGAAGAUAUCAGAACAAAGGGUGGUGAGCCAUGAAACAAUCAAAAGGCUGGUUGAUAUCUUAGAUGGAAUGAAAUUCAUGCUGGGCUAGAAAUGAACAGAA